AAAACACAUUUUUUUAAAUUUCUAGUCAAAAGCAGCAAGUUAAAGAAGAAAAUUCCAAUCUCUAAAAGAAUUGAGUUCACAGUACAAUAAAGAACUUCUCAUGAAUGGCACAUAUACUCUUCCAGAAACCCAGAGCACCUUUUACAGUAUAACCAAUAAUUUAGAUAUACUGAUAAGUGAUAGGCACAAUGCUAAAACUUUCGGGCUCAUACAUGUUGUUCAAGAUAAAAUGGUUUGCGCAUUAGAAAAAUUAUGGGGAUAAAUAUUGGGUGCGUGCAUUAAAGGUAAACGACCAACAAGUUAAGGCGGAUGGGAGCCAAACUUAUCCGUGGACUCAGGCUGACCAAGACUUAUAUCAACUUAAAUUUGACAAAGUGCUUCAGUAAAAGAAUAUUUCUUA